rnacentral:rRNA from 1 species
UGGGGAAUAUUGCACAAUGGGCGAAAGCCUGAUGCAGCAACGCCGCGCGAGUGAUGAAGGUCUUCGGAUUGUAAAGCUCUGUCUUUUGGGACGAUAAUGACGGUACCAAAGGAGGAAGCCACGGCUAACUACGUGCCAGCAGCCGCGGUAAUACGUAGGUGGCGAGCGUUGUCCGGAUUUACUGGGCGUAAAGGGUGCGUAGGCGGAUGUUUAAGUGAGAUGUGAAAUACCCGGGCUUAACUUGGGUGCUGCAUUUCAAACUGGAUAUCUAGAGUGCAGGA